rnacentral:rRNA from 1 species
UACAGAGGGGGCGAGCGUUGUUCGGAAUUACUGGGCGUAAAGGGCUCGUAGGCGGCCAACUAAGUCGGACGUGAAAUCCCGGGGCUCAACCUCGGAACUGCCUUUGAUACAGCAAGUCUUGAGUUCGAGAGAGGUGGGUGGAAUUCCUAGUGUAGAGGUGAAAUUCGUAGAUAUUAGGAAGAACACCAGUGGCGAAAGGCGGCUCACUGGCCCGGUACUGACG